rnacentral:rRNA from 1 species
UACGGAGGGUGCAAGCGUUAAUCGGAAUUACUGGGCGUAAAGCGCACGUAGGUGGUUUGUUAAGCUAGCUGUGAAAUCCCCGGGCUCAACCUGGGCACUGCAGUUAGAACUGGCAAGCUAGAGUAGGGUAGAGGGGUGUGGAAUUCCAGGUGUAGCGGUGAAAUGCGUAGAUAUCUGGAGGAACACCGGUGGCGAAGGCGGCAUCCUGGACCAACACUGACACUGAGGAGCGAAAGCCAGGGGAGCAAACGGG